UUGUGCUGACGUGUCUCGCUUACACAAAAAGUGGAGCAAAAAGUCGCACAUGUAUGCUUACAAGACGACGAAAAAUCAAACAACACAUACAUACAUUCAUUCUUCAAAGAGAACUCAGUCGAGAGAUAAACAACUAGAGAUGUCGGAAGUGAACGACGCGUCGAUUAAGUUUUUCGGAAGCACAAUUCAAUCUAGUUACAUUCUCAGUCAAACUGAUGAACAACAACGGAGGUCUUACAAAGGCAUCAAGGCGUUUCGAUCAGAAGGUGAUGAGAUUGCACUUGGCAAGAAAGCUAUGGUCAAUUUGCGAGCGAACCCUGCAGCCAUGUCAAGAUCAGUUAACUUCCAUGAGACCUCGUAACGUUGUACAACAUUCCAUGUUGAGAAGUUGAUUUUCAUACGAAUCAAUCAAGCAUGUGGGCAUCAAACUGUUAUCUAAAAAAUAGACUAAUAGAUUUUCAUUGAAGUUACUUAGAACGAAUAGUCUUGAAAGGUAUCAAGAUCAAGUGUAAAUGCCUAAUGGUGAUGUGAGCUACUAUUAUAUUGAGAAUUUAUAAUGCUUACUACUGUAUAUUUCAUAA